UACGGAGGGGGCCAGCGUUGCUCGGAAUUAUUGGGCGUAAAGGGCGCGUAGGCGGCUUGGUAAGUUUGAUGUGAAAUCCCAUGGCUCAACCAUGGAACUGCAUCUCAUACUGCCGAGCUAGAGUCUGGGAGAGGGAAGCGGAAUUCCCGGUGUAGCGGUGAAAUGCGCAGAUAUCAGGAGGAACACCAAUGGCGAAGGCAGCUCGCUGGGACGUGACUGACGCUGAGACGCGAAAGCGUGGGGAGCAAACAGG
rnacentral:rRNA from 1 species